GUACGCGUCGGCAGCCUACAGAUUACAGCGAACGGUACAGGAAGCAGCUUGCUGCUUUGCUGACGAGUGGGGUAAGUAUGUCUGGGAAACUGCUGAUAGAGGGGGAUAACUACUGGAAACGGUAGCUAAUACCGCAUAACGUCGCAAGACAAAGAGGGGGACCUUCGGGCCUCUUGCCAUCGGAUGUGCCCAGAUUGGAUUAGCUAGUACGUGGGGUAACGGCUCACCUAUGCGACGAUCCCUAGCUGGUCUGAGAGGAUGACCAGCCACACUGGAACUGAGACACGUUCCAGACUCCUUCGGGAGGCAGCCAUUGGGGAAUAUUGCACAAAUGGCGCAAGCCUGAAUCAUCCCAUGCGCGAUGUUUAAGAAGGCCUCGGGUAGUAAAGUACUUCCGAGGGGAGGAAGGCCGAAAGGAUAAUAACCAGGACAA
rnacentral:rRNA from 1 species